rfam:Trichomalopsis sarcophagae strain Alberta scaffold11421, whole genome shotgun sequence.
UAAUCGGCCCUUUUCAGGGCCACCAAAAAUUUCGAACGUAAAAACAG